UGAGGAUUGUAAUUCAACACAUACAAGAAAUUCGUUGUUUUAUUACAAAAUGAUGGUUCCUGCAAAAACUCAACAUGAAGAUAAUAUCAGACGCAAUGCUAAUUUAGAGAAGACUAUAAUAAAGAAGAUAUGACAAAUUUUUCUACAGAGUCAACUUUUAGUAAAACUUUGGAGCAGCUAGUACAGAAGAUUAUUUGAUUUUUCAUCUCAUGUAUAAUAAUCGUCUUUAUGAGGGGGAGAUAUAAAUAUGUUCUGCACUCUUUUUCCUUCACUGUGGUUUUGUCCCACUGGGUUUUCCUGGUAAGGUUUUUAACGAGGCAGUUCACACACAAAGGAUGUUGUACUCUUUUUCCUUCACUAUGAUUUUUCCCACUGGGUUUUUAAUAGUAAGGUUUUAAUGAGGCAUAUUAUCGAUGGACAUCCAAGGGGGAGUGUUAUGAAUAAUAUAGAUGUGGAUGUCCAUUAGUCUAGGCCCAUAUUCUUGGCCCAUGUAAUCUCCUAUAUAUAUGACUAUCUCACAAUGUAAAAGACACACCUUGAAUAGAACAAUACAAUAAUCUAUUCUUUUCUCUUCUCCCUU
rnacentral:lncRNA from 1 species